CUCUGUAAGACGUCCUCAUCAGUCCGAUCAAGUGUUGAAGGAUCAGGCAGGUCUGGAAACUUGGCCCAGCAUUUGUUAACCAUAUCAGCAUCUCUCCAGUUUGCCUUGUCAAAGCUCCAAUUCCCAACUUUAAAUUCUAACCCAUAGUGAAAAACUCUAUACUUGACACCCGGCUCGGGGACAUAUCCUGGGUAUAUUAAUAUCUCCCUGCUUAUAAGGUGUCGUAGUUGCAACUCUGCUGCACCAAAAGAGUAACCAUACAUCUCACUGAUCCAGCCAGAUUCAUAUAUAUCUCCGGUUAUAUUUGUGGCAUAAUGAGAUUUGUCAGCCCGAACCUCCUCGGUUUUAUGCAACCACAGCAUAGCAAAUUUUCGAAGAUCUUCUAUAUGCAUGAUGAUUACACCCCCAACCUUGU
rnacentral:misc_RNA from 1 species